rnacentral:rRNA from 1 species
UACGUAGGGGGCUAGCGUUGUCCGGAUUUAUUGGGCGUAAAGAGCGUGUAGGCGGCCAGGUAGGUCUGCUGUGAAAACUCGAGGCUCAACCUCGAGACGUCGGCGGAAACCAUCUGGCUAGAGUCCGGAAGAGGAGAGUGGAAUUCCUGGUGUAGCGGUGAAAUGCGCAGAUAUCAGGAAGAACACCCGUGGCGAAGGCGGCCUCUCGUGGGACGGUACUGACGCUGAGACGCGAAAGCGUGGGGAGCGAACAGG